rnacentral:rRNA from 1 species
AGAGUUUGAUCAUGGCUCAGGAUGAACGCUAGCGGCAGGCUUANNACAUGCAANUCGAGGGGUAACAUUGUAGCUUGCUACAGAUGACGACCGGCGCACGGGUGCGUAACGCGUAUACAAUCUACCUUUUGCUGAGGGAUAGCCCAGAGAAAUUUGGAUUAAGACCUCAUGGUAUUAUUAAUUGGCAUCAAUAAAUAAUUAAAGGUUACGGCAAAAGAUGAGUAUGCGUUCUAUUAGCUAGAUGGUGUGGUAACGGCACACCAUGGCGACGAUAGAUAGGGGCCCUGAGAGGGGGAUCCCCCACACUGGUACUGAGACACGGACCAGACUCCUACGGGAGGCAGCAGUGAGGAAUAUUGGACAAUGGAGGCAACUCUGAUCCAGCCAUGCCGCGUGCAGGAAGACUGCCCUAUGGGUUGUAAACUGCUUUUAUACAGGAAGAAACCCCCGCUCGUGAGCGGGACUGACGGUACUGUAAGAAUAAGGAUCGGCUAACUCCGUGCCAGCAGCCGCGGUAAUACGGAGGAUCCAAGCGUUAUCCGGAAUCAUUGGGUUUAAAGGGUCCGUAGGUGGAUAAUUAAGUCAGAGGUGAAAUCCUGCAGCUCAACUGUAGAAUUGCCUUUGAAACUGGUUAACUUGAGUCAUUAUGAAGUGGUUAGAAUGUGUAGUGUAGCGGUGAAAUGCAUAGAUAUUAUACGGAAUACCGAUUGCGAAGGCAGAUCACUAAUAAUGUACUGACACUGAUGGACGAAAGCGUGGGGAGCGAACAGGAUUAGAUACCCUGGUAGUCCACGCCGUAAACGAUGGUCACUAGCUGUUCGAACUUCGGUUUGAGUGGCUAAGAGAAAUUGAUAAGUGACCCACCUGGGGAGUACGUUCGCAAGAAUGAAACUCAAAGGAAUUGACGG